AAAUUCUUUUUCUAGUGAUUGGAAUGAUGGGAAUCCAAACCCCUUUCAGAGUAACAAUUGGAGGGCAAGUCUGGUGCCAGCAGCCGCGGUAAUUCCAGCUCCAAUAGCGUAUAUUAAAGUUGUUGCAGUUAAAAAGCUCGUAGUUGGAUAUCUGCUGGAAGCAGCCAGUCCGCCCUUUGUGGGUGUGCACUUGGUGAAUUCUGGCAUCCUCCUGAUUGGUGUCAUCAUCACUUCAUUGUGUUGGUGGCAGCUGUCAGGACCGUUACUUUGA
rnacentral:rRNA from 1 species